rnacentral:lncRNA from 1 species
AAAAAACAAAAUCGGGGUAACAAACUAAAACUGAGGGAAACGCAUAAAUAUAAGAGAACAACGACACAACACUACAAUGUAACUAACACACACAGAAACGGACCAAGCAUCAGACAAAAUCCCACGAGAAUAACAAAAUAUAACAUCAAAACCAAAUACAUGAAUUUGGGAUAGACAAGUACCGUGACACGUCUUAUCGCAAUGUCAAUUUACACUCAAAAAUAAGAGAAAACAAACGACGCAACGUUAAAUUAUAACACACACAGAAACGAACUAUAAUAUAACAAUGGCCAUAUUCCUGACUUGGUACAGGACAUUUUUAAAGGAAAAAAUGGUGGGUUGAACCUGGUUUUGUGGCAUGCCAAACCUCGCAC